rnacentral:rRNA from 1 species
UACGUAGGGGGCAAGCGUUGUCCGGAUUUAUUGGGCGUAAAGAGCGUGUAGGCGGCCACACAGGUCAGCUGUGAAAACUCGAGGCUCAACCUCGAGACGUCGGUUGAAACCGUAUGGCUAGAGUCCGGAAGAGGAGAGUGGAAUUCCCGGUGUAGCGGUGAAAUGCGCAGAUAUCGGGAAGAACACCCGUGGCGAAGGCGGCUACUCGUGGGACGGUACUGGACGCGUGAGACGGCGAAAGCGUGGGGAGCGAACAGG